rnacentral:rRNA from 1 species
GACGAACGCUGGCGGCGUGCUUAACACAUGCAAGUCGAACGGAAAGGCCCUGCUUUUGUGGGGUGCUCGAGUGGCGAACGGGUGAGUAACACGUGAGUAACCUGCCCCUGACUUUGGGAUAACUUCAGGAAACUGGGGCUAAUCCCGGAUAGGAGCUCCUGCUGCAUGGUGGGGGUUGGAAAGUUUCGGCGGUUGGGGAUGGACUCGCGGCUUAUCAGCUUGUUGGUGGGGUAGUGGCUUACCAAGGCUUUGACGGGUAGCCGGCCUGAGAGGGUGACCGGCCACAUUGGGACUGAGAUACGGCCCAGACUCCUACGGGAGGCAGCAGUGGGGAAUAUUGCACAAUGGGCGGAAGCCUGAUGCAGCAACGCCGCGUGCGGGAUGACGGCCUUCGGGUUGUAAACCGCUUUCGCCUGUGACGAAGCGUGAGUGACGGUAAUGGGUAAAGAAGCACCGGCUAACUACGUG